rnacentral:rRNA from 1 species
GACGAACGCUGGCGGCGUGCCUAAUACAUGCGAGUUGAGCGCUGAAGGUUGGUACUUGUACCGACUGGAUGAGCAGCGAACGGGUGAGUAACGCGUGGGGAAUCUGCCUUUGAGCGGGGGACAACAUUUGGAAACGAAUGCUAAUACCGCAUAAAAACUUUAAACACAAGUUUUAAGUUUGAAAGAUGCAAUUGCAUCACUCAAAGAUGAUCCCGCGUUGUAUUAGCUAGUUGGUGAGGUAAAGGCUCACCAAGGCGAUGAUACAUAGCCGACCUGAGAGGGUGAUCGGCCACAUUGGGACUGAGACACGGCCCAAACUCCUACGGGAGGCAGCAGUAGGGAAUCUUCGGCAAUGGCCGAAAGUCUGACCGAGCAACGCCGCGUGAGUGAAGAAGGUUUUCGGAUCGUAAAACUCUGUUGGUAGAGAAGAACGUUGGUGAGAGUGGAAAGCUCAUCAAGUGACGGUAACUACCCAGAAAGGGACGGCUAACUACGUG